UACGUAGGGGGCAAGCGUUGUCCGGAUUUAUUGGGCGUAAAGAGCGUGUAGGCGGCUAGGUAGGUCCGUUGUGAAAACUCGAGGCUCAACCUCGAGACGUCGAUGGAAACCAUCUAGCUAGAGUCCGGAAGAGGAGAGUGGAAUUCCUGGUGUAGCGGUGAAAUGCGCAGAUAUCAGGAAGAACAUCAGUGGCGAGGGCGGGUCUCUGGGCCAAUAUUGACGCUGAGGAGCGAAAGCGUGGGGAGCGAACAGG
rnacentral:rRNA from 1 species